AUGGAAAAAGCAAGAGAGUUCCAGAAAAACAUCUAUUUCUGCUUUACUGACUAUGCCAAAGCCUUUGACUGUGUGGAUCACAAUAAACUGUGGAAAACUCUGAAAGAGAUGGGAAUACCAGACCACCUGACCUGCCUCUUGAGAAACCUGUAUGCAGGCCAGGAAGCAACAGUUAGAACUGGACAUGGAACAACAGACUGGUUCCAAAUAGGAAAAGGACUGCAUCAAGGCUGUAUAUUGUCACCCUGCUUAUUUAAUUUCUGUGCAGAGUACAUCAUGAGAAACGCUGGACUGGAAGAAACACAAGCUGGAAUCAAGAUUGCUGGGAGAAAUAUCAAUAACCUCAGAUAUGCAGAUGAUACCCCUCUUAUGGCAGAAAGUGAAGAAGAACUCAAAAGCCUCUUGAUGAAAGUAAAAGAGGAGAGUGAAAAAGUUGGCUUAAAGCUCAACAUUCAGAAAACGAAGACCAUGGCAUCCGGUCCCAUCACUUCAUGGGAAGUAGAUGGGGAAACAGUGGAAACAGUGUCAGAGUUUAUUUUUGGGGGCUCCAAAAUCACUGCAGAUGGUGAUUGCAGCCAUGAAAUUAAAAGAUGCUUACUCCUUGGAAGAAAAGUUAUGACCAACCUAGAUAGCAUAUUCAAAAGCAGAGACAUUACUUUGCCGACUAAGGUCCAUCUACUCAAGGCUAUGGUUUUUCCAGUGGUCAUGUAUGGAUGUGAGAGUUGGAAUGAGAAGAAGGCUGAGCACCAAAGAAUUGAUGCUUUUGAACUGUGGUGUUGGAGAAGACUCUUGAGAGUCCCUUGGACUGCAAGGAGAUCCAACCAGUCCAUUCUGAAGGAGAUUAACCCUGGGAUUUAUUUGGAAGGAAUGAUGCUAAAGCUGAAACUCCAGUACUUUGGCCACCUCAUGCAAAGUGUUGACUCAUUGGAAAAGACUGUGAUGCUGGGAGGGAUUGGGGGCAGGAGGAGAAGGGGACAACAUAGGAUGAGAUGGCUGGAUGGCAUCACUGCCUCAAUGGAUGAGAGUCUGAGUGAACUCCGGGAAUUGGUGAUGGACAGGGACGCCUGGCGUGCUGCGAGUCAUGGGGUCACAAAGAGUCGGACACGACUGAGCAACUGA
rnacentral:lncRNA from 1 species